rnacentral:rRNA from 1 species
UACAGAGGGUGCAAGCGUUAAUCGGAAUUACUGGGCGUAAAGCGUGCGUAGACGGUUACAUAAGUCGGGUGUGAAAGCCCCGGGCUCAACCUGGGAAUUGCAUUCGAGACUGCGUAGCAGGGUGCGGAAGAGGGAAGCGGAAUUUCCGGUGUAGCGGUGAAAUGCGUAGAUAUCGGAAGGAACAUCAGUGGCGAAAGCGACUUCCUGGACCAAUACUGACGCUCAUGUGCGAAAGCGUGGGGAGCAAACAGG